AACGCACCUUGCGCUCCUUGGUAUUCCGAGGAGCAUGCCUGUUUGAGUGUCAUUAAAUUCUCAACCUUAUUAGCUUUUGUUGAUAAUGGAUUGGAUGUGGGGGUUUAUUUUGCUGGCUUCUUCACAGAGAUCAGCUCCCCUUAAAUGCAUUAGCUGGUGCCCCGCGUGGACCAUCUAUUGGUGUGAUAAUUAUCUACGCCGUGGAUGUCUGCAAUCAUAUGGGUUUUGCACUGCUUCUAACCGUCUGUUCAUUCGGACAAAAUACAUGACAAUUUGACCUCAAAUCAGGUAGGACUACCCGCUGAACUUAA
rnacentral:misc_RNA from 1 species